rnacentral:rRNA from 1 species
UACGUAGGUGGCGAGCGUUGUCCGGAUUUAUUGGGUUUAAAGGGUGCGUAGGCGGCUUUGUAAGUCAGUGGUGAAAUACUCUAGCUUAACUAGAGGGGUGCCAUUGAUACUGCGGAGCUUGAGUACAGAUGAGGUAGGCGGAAUCGACGGUGCAGCGGUGAAAUGCAUAGAUAUCGUCAAGAACACCGAUAGCGAAGGCAGCUUACUGGGCUGUAACUGACGCUGAGGCACGAAAGUGUGGGGAUCAAACAGG